UCGGCCCGUGCUCAGGCUCCGGGAGAUCAACCCUCUGCUGUUCAGCUAUGUGGAGGAGCUGGUGGAGAUUCGCAAGCUGCGCCAGGACAUCCUGCUCAUGAAGCCGUACUUCAUCACUUGCAGGGAGGCCAUGGAGGCUCGUCUGUUGCUGCAGGACCUCCUGGACGUGCAUGCCGGCCGCCUGGGCUGCUCACUCACCGAGAUCCACACGCUCUUCGCCAAGCACAUCAAGCUGGACUGUGAGGUGGGCCUCUGCCCGGGGGCCGCUCUUCUCCAGCCCCAGCCCUGAGGGGGGAUUGGCAGGAGAAGCAGCCCAGCCCAGUGUGUCCUUGGCCUUGGAGUGCCCAGAGGAGCUGGCACUGAUGUGCCCGUGCCCCAACCCCACACUGUUCCCCCCAGCGGUGCCAGGCCAAGGGCUUCGUGUGUGAGCUCUGCAGAGAGGGCGAUGUGCUGUUCCCGUUCGACAGCCACACGUCUGUGUGCGCUGACUGCUCCGCUGUCUUCCACAGGGACUGCUACUACGACAACUCUACCACGUGUCCCAAGUGUGCCCGGCUCAGCCUGAGGAAGCAGUCGCUCUUCCAGGAGCCAGGUCCUGACGUGGAGGCCUAGCGCUGAGGAACAGUGCUGGGCACCCCACCUGGCCCGCCAGGACCCACCCUGCCAACGUCAAGUUGUUCGUUCUGCUCUGGAGACCCCUGGGGUGCGGCCCUGGACCCCUCCACCCCUGCUGGGCCAGAGUGGUGGGCAGUGUCAAGGCCCGCUGUCUCCCAGGUGCUUGCUGGGACUCGGGGCGGCCGCACCUGGCUGUCACCUGGGUGUGCUGCUGUGAGGGGUCCUUGCGUGGCCCCCAUCCUUCCCCCAGUGCAGAACUCCAUGGGCAGGGAGUUGGGGGGACAUCUCAUCUCCCCCAUGGCACAGAGCCCUCCACACCCCUGGACCAGGGCAUCCGGGCCCUAGAGAUUCCACAGCUCCUGUCCUGGCCACCCUG
rnacentral:sRNA from 1 species